rnacentral:rRNA from 1 species
AUGAGCAUUGAGGCUCGCGGUGGCUAUCGUUAUGUUCUCACCCUCACUGUUGACUUAAGUAGAUAUGGGUAUGUCUACUUAAUGAAACACAAGUCUGAGACCUUUGAAAAGUUCAAGGAAUUUCAGAAUGAGGUAGAGAAUCAACAUGACAGAAAAAUAAAGUUCUUACGAUCAGAUCGUGGGGGAGAAUAUUUAAGUCACGAGUUUGGUACGCACUUAAGGAAAUGUGGAAUUAUUUCACAACUCACGCCGCUUGGAACACCUCAGUGUAACGGUGUGUCCGAACGUCGUAAUCGCACUCUAUUGGAUAUGGUGCGGUCUAUGAUGUCUCUUACCGAUUUACUACUAUCAUUUCGGGGAUACGCUUUAGAGACAGCUACAUUCACUUUAAAUAGGGCACCGUCUAAAUCCAUUGAGACGACACCAUAUGAAUUAUGGUUUGGAAAGAAACCUAAGCUGUCGUUUCUAAAAGUUUGGGGAUGUGAAGCUUAUGUCAAGAAACUUCAACCUGAAAAGCUUGAACCCAAGUCAAAAAAAUGUGUCUUCAUAGGAUACCCUAAGGAAACCAUUGGGUAUACCUUCUACCUCAGAUCCGAAGGCAAGAUUUUCGCUGCCAAGAACGGGUCCUUUCUGGAGAAAGAGUUUAUCUCGAAAGAAGUAAGUGGGAGGAAAGUGGAACUUGAUGAAGUACUACCUCUUGAACCGGUAAGUAGCGCAGAUCAGGAAGAUGUUCCUGUGGUGUCUGCACCGACUAGAGAGGAAGUUAAUGAUGAUGAUCAAGGUACUUCGGAUCAAGUUACUACUGAACUUCGUAGGUCCACAAGUACCCAUUCCACACCAGAAUGGUAUGGCAACCCUAUACUGGAAAUCAUGUUGUUAGACAACGGUGAACCUUCGAACUAUGAAGAAGCGAUGGCGGGCCCAGAUUCCAACAAAUGGCUUGAAGCCAUGCAAUCCAAGAUAUGA